GAUGCAUGUCAAUGCCCUCAAACUUACCUUGAUUUUAUGCCGUGGUGCAAAUAUGAGGACGUGGGGUAGGAGUGUGUUAGCCAAAGGAGGAACGACGCAUUUGAAGAGAGCCCGAGGUAACGCUGCAGCAGCCAGAGAAGCAUUAGUUUCACUUAUAUUCAAGCGGCGGGCAAAAGCGGGUGCACUGUGCUUCCGUGCGUGGCGUCGCGGUUAGUGAAGAGAUAAGUGUGCGUUAAUUCAUCGUUCACCUCCUGCGUGUUCUCCUCGGCGGGUUUGGUGAGUACCCAUAUCACAGGCCUCAUCGUGGGACAGACAGCGCUGGAGCACCCCUUCGAAAAACGUAAAGUGAAGAUACUGUUUCCUAGGUGUUAGGGCGAUAGGCUGCUCGGCUAAUCUUCAUUGCCUUUCAGGUAUAAACUAAUGAACCUUCUUUUCAGGUAUAUACUAAUUAGUGAUCCAGUCUUUCCCAGAGUAGUAAUGCCUUUGUUAGUGCACUGUGGCACCGACCAGAUGGAGACUCAAGCUAGUGAAAGGAAGAUAGUGCUGAUGGCGGGCGUGCUGCUUUCAUAUGGAUUGCGAGGGAGAUGCGUCCACUUCCCUAGACCGUGCUAUUACGUGUCCUGAAGAAAUAGUCGCGAAGAUGCAAGCUUAGAAUUAGACCAGAGUCGCACAGGUGUAAAAGAAGAUAUUCGGAUGGAAGUCAGGAAAUCUCAUGGCGUUCUGACGAUGGGAAAGGUGAGGAAAUGGUUCUAUCUUGUCUCUCGGGUAAAACGAG